rnacentral:rRNA from 1 species
UGCCGCGUGAGUGAAGAAGGCCUUCGGGUUGUAAAGCUCUUUUGUCAGGGAAGAAACGGUGAGCUCUAAUACAGCUUGCUAAUGACGGUACCUGAAGAAUAAGCACCGGCUAACUACGUGCCAGCAGCCGCGGUAAUACGUAGGGUGCAAGCGUUAAUCGGAAUUACUGGGCGUAAAGCGUGCGCAGGCGGUUUUGUAAGUCUGUCGUGAAAUCCCCGGGCUCAACCUGGGAAUGGCGAUGAAGACUGCAAGGCUAGAGUUUGGCAGAGGGGGGUAGAAUUCCACGUGUAGCAGUGAAAUGCGUAGAUAUGUGGAGGAACACCGAUGGCGAAGGCAGCCCCCUGGGUCAAAACUGACGCUCAUGCACGAAAGCGUGGGGAGCAAACAGGAUUAGAUACCCUGGUAGUCCACGCCCUAAACGAUGUCUACUAGUUGUCGGGUCUUAAUUGACUUGGUAACGCAGCUAAC